rnacentral:rRNA from 1 species
GACGAACGCUGGCGGCGUGCUUAACACAUGCAAGUCGAACGGAAAGGCCCUGCUUUUGUGGGGUGCUCGAGUGGCGAACGGGUGAGUAACACGUGAGUAACCUGCCCUUGACUUUGGGAUAACUUCAGGAAACUGGGGCUAAUACCGGAUAGGAGCUCCUGCUGCAUGGUGGGGGUUGGAAAGUUUCGGCGGUUGGGGAUGGACUCGCGGCUUAUCAGCUUGUUGGUGGGGUAGUGGCUUACCAAGGCUUUGACGGGUAGCCGGCCUUAGAGGGUGACCGGCCACAUUGGGACUGAGAUACGGCCCAGACUCCUACGGGAGGCAGCAGUGGGGAAUAUUGCACAAUGGGCGGAAGCCUGAUGCAGCAACGCACCGUGCGGGAUGACGGCCUUCGGGUUGUAAACCGCUUUCGCCUGUGACGAAGCGUUAGUGACGGUAAUGGGUAAAGAAGCACCGGCUAACUACGUG